UCUUUAUUUUCUUUUUAAACAAACAGCCCUCCGAGCCUUGGCCUGGGGCCUUGGGUGUAAAAGGGGCGUAGGGUCAAGCGUGGCAUUUCCAUGAUCAGAGAGCCAGACUGGGAAAGGGAAAAAGGAAAAUCAGGUUCCACACAAGGGGGGUGGAGGAGAAGCUGUUUCAUUCCUGAGGGACCCUGCAGGUGAGAGAUCUCUCUGCACUCACCUGUGCAGGUGAGUGCCCUGCCUCAGUGGGACACGCCCUGGGGGUGACAGUCCCCAACCUGUGCAGGACAAGGGGGCUCCAGGCACAGGGUUUACACCCUGGGAAGAGGCACCAAAUCUGUGGAUUCAAUGGCUCCUGCCCCAAUUUGCCUCACAGGCAGCCAUGGUCACAACCCCUGUGACCCCUCACAGUGACCGUGCUGUCCCCACCCCUCCUGCAGAGCCUCUGGGGUCACACUGAACCCCCUGAGACCUCCAACAGCUGGGGAUUAAUCCCAGGGGCUGUUCCUGGGUUCCCAUCCCAGGGGGUGAUCCCAAGUUGGGUGUUCCUAGGGGGCGAUCCCGGGUUCCAGUCCCAGGGGCUGUUCCCAGAUUCCCAUCCCCAGGGGAGUGAUCCAAAGUUGGUUCCCAUCCCCAAGGGGGUGUUCCCAGGUUCCCAUCCCAGGUAGGUGAUCCCAAGUUGGUUCCCAUCCCAGGUGGGUGUUCCCAGGUUCCCAGGGUGUGUUUGGGAGCCAGGACAGCCCAAUGCCCACCUCGCCCCCAGCCCAGAGCUGAGUGCCACCUCCACGUGUUCCUUGGACACUCCAGGGAUGAGCACUCCAAACCUCCCUGGGCAGUUCCAAGCCCUGAGCUCCCUUUCCAGGAGAAAUUCCUGCUGGUGCCCACCCUGAGGCUCCCCUGAGGCCGUUCCCUCUGCUCCUGUCCCUGUUCCCUGGAGCAGAGCCCGACCCCCCUGGCUGUCCAGGAGCUGUGCAGAGCCACAAGGUCCCCCUGAGCCUCCUUUGCUCCAGGCUGAGCCCCCUCCCAGCUCCCUCAGGAAUUCUCCAGCCCCUUCCCAGCUCCUCAGGAAUUCUCCAACCCCUUCCCAGCUCCCUCAGGAAUUCUCCAUUCCCUUCCCAGCUCCCUCAGGAAUUCUCCAUUCCCUUCCCAGCUCCCUCAGGAAUUCUCCAGCCCCUUCCCAGCUCCCUCAGGAAUUCUCCAGCCCCUUCCCAGCUCCUCAGGAAUUCUCCAGCCCCUUCCCAGCUCCCUCAGGAAUUCUCCAGCCCUUCCCAGCUCCCUCAGGAAUUCUCCAUCCCCUUCCCAGCUCCCUCAGGAAUUCUCCAUCCCCUUCCCAGCUCCCUCAGGAAUUCUCCAUUCCCUUCCCAGCUCCCUCAGGAGUUCUCCAGCCCCUUCCCAGCUCUGGACAGGCUCCAGCCCCUCAUGCUCUCCCUUGUCACAAAGGGCCCAAGACUGAGCCAGGGUUUGAGGUCCCUCGGCAGGGGCAGCACAAGGGGCUGGGGUCACUGCCCUGGCCCAGUGGCCACGCUGGGACUGGUCCAGGCCAGGUGCCAUUGGCCUCCUGCCCACCUGGGCACAGCUGGGCACAGCUGGGCCCGUGUCCAGCUGCUGUCCCCAGCACCCCCAGGGCCUUUCCAGCUUUUCAGCCCCUUUUCCCUGAGCCUGGAGUGUGACCCGAGGGCAGCUCCCAGCAUUAGCUGAGCCUCACCCCACGGAUCCCGUGGAUCUCAUGGAUCCAGCCUGCCCAGAUGGAUCCUCAGCAAAGAAAACCCCCCGAGCCAGCCUUAGGAAAAGAUUUUCCAUUUAAUACUAGACUCUCAGGAUUGAGAUGCAGGCUUUUUAUGCAAUUACAUCCAAUGUUAAAAUUGGUAAUACAUAAUUUACAAAGAUUAACAUCAAAACAAUGAUCUAUUUAGAUAUGCUUUGUAAAAAGGAAAUAUAUUAGCAGCAUUUAUUUUCAGCAAUCACACAGCCUACACCCAUGCAGACUAAGGUUCAGCUCUAUUUGCAGUAACGUAGUGCUUCUGGCUCCGGCGGCGCUCCUGGGGACACACGGGUCUGCUCAGUAUUAUAAAAUAACCAAAAAAUAAAAAAAGUCAUUAAUUUCUACACCAGUAAGAAAAAACAAUUCUUUGCACUUACCUAACAUUUGAUUGUCUAAAAAACAUUUUGUUUAGUCUUUCAACAAAAGAAAGAUAAAAUGACAGAGCUAGUGUCUCGCUUCUGUACGCACUUUAUUUUUUUUAUUUUUUUUUUAAAAACUUUUUAGUGUUUAACACCAUUUGAGACAAUGAUUUCUGUUUGAAACUAAAUGAGACAACUCGAGGGGUUGGACAUGCGAUAUUCCUACUACACGCACGAGUAUUUUAUACUCAGGGUUCCUGGUACUGUACAGUGCUUCUCUACAGUAAGAAAAUAUUCCAAACUAUUUUCUUAUUUCUUUUUUUUUUUAAUAAAAUAUUUUUUUUCUCAAAGGGUUUUUUUCCUUUCUUUUUUUUUUUGGUGUUUUUUUUUGUUUUGUUUUUUCUCUUUUUAAAUCAACACAUAAAAGUUAAUGGAAUGAGUCAUGUUCCACUAAGAGUAAAAUAAUUAUAAUAAUAACAAGAAUGUACAUUAGGACGAGCUUGGUCCAUAAAAAGGAACAUGUAACUACGGUAUUGCUUUACA